GCCUGAGAGGGCGACCGGCCACAUUGGGACUGAGAUACGGCCCAGACUCCUACGGGAGGCAGCAGUGGGGAAUAUUGCACAAUGGGCGCAAGCCUGAUGCAGCGACGCCGCGUGAGGGAUGGAGGCCUUCGGGUUGUAAACCUCUUUUGUUAGGGAGCAAGGCACUUUGUGUUGAGUGUACCUUUCGAAUAAGCACCGGCUAACUACGUGCCAGCAGCCGCGGUAAUACGUAGGGUGCAAGCGUUAUCCGGAAUUAUUGGGCGUAAAGGGCUCGUAGGCGGUUCGUCGCGUCCGGUGUGAAAGUCCAUCGCUUAACGGUGGAUCCGCGCCGGGUACGGGCGGGCUUGAGUGCGGUAGGGGAGACUGGAAUUCCCGGUGUAACGGUGGAAUGUGUAGAUAUCGGGAAGAACACCAAUGGCGAAGGCAGGUCUCUGGGCCGUUACUGACGCUGAGGAGCGAAAGCGUGGGGAGCGAACAGGAUUAGAUACCCUGGUAGUCCACGCCGUAAACGGUGGAUGCUGGAUGUGGGGCCCGUUCCACGGGUUCCGUGUCGGAGCUAACGCGUUAAGCAUCCCGCCUGGGGAGUACGGCCGCAAGGCUAAAACUCAAAGAAAUUGACGGGGGCCCGCACAAGCGGCGGAGCAUGCGGAUUAAUUCGAUGCAACGCGAAGAACCUUACCUGGGCUUGACAUGUUCCCGACGGCCCCAGAGAUGGGGUUUCCCUUCGGGGCGGGUUCACAGGUGGUGCAUGGUCGUCGUCAGCUCGUGUCGUGAGAUGUUGGGUUAAGUCCCGCAACGAGCGCAACCCUCGCCCCGUGUUGCCAGCGGAUUAUGCCGGGAACUCACGGGGGACCGCCGGGGUUAACUCGGAGGAAGGUGGGGAUGACGUCAGAUCAUCAUGCCCCUUACGUCCAGGGCUUCACGCAUGCUACAAUGGCCGGUACAACGGGAUGCGACAGUGCGAGCUGGAGCGGAUCCCUGAAAACCGGUCUCAGUUCGGAUCGCAGUCUGCAACUCGACUGCGUGAAGGCGGAGUCGCUAGUAAUCGCGAAUCAGCAACGUCGCGGUGAAUGCGUUCCCGGGCCUUGUACACACCGCCCGUCAAGUCAUGAAAGUGGGCAGCACCCGAAGCCGGUGGCCUAACCCCUUGC
rnacentral:rRNA from 1 species